AUGUCCGAAGUGAAACAUUUUUAUAAGAAGAUCAGCGAGAUGCCAAAGCUCUUCCAGGAGGUGCAAAAGGAGGUUGAUAAUUUACUGCCAUCACUGUCUUCGUCUCCCAUCUCACCUGAAAAUUUCAGAGUCUACUUGAUCUUGCCUUUCAUUCUGCAGGGGAAGGAUAAAAGCUGUUACCAUUCACUGAGGCUUCUAGCACAAGCCAUCAUGAAGCUCCAGCCAGAGGACCUGCAAACUCUUGAGUGCCUGUGGUCAAAUCUGGAAACAUCCUCUUUCAAGGAGCUGGUCAGUCUGUAUCAGAGGGUUUCCCAGGAUAACCUGUCUCAAUUUAACAUAGAAUUACACAACUGUGGGCCAAGAGACCCCUUCAACCUGUACCCAGAUGAAAUAGUGCCUCUGCAAAUACUGCAGAUGCUUUACCAGGUGAGAAAGUACUUGGAUCCUCA
rnacentral:lncRNA from 1 species